UACGGAGGGUGCGAGCGUUGUCCGGAAUCACUGGGCGUAAAGGGCGCGUAGGUGGCGAAGCAAGUCAACGGUGAAAGCUCGACGCUCAACGUCGAGUCGGCCGUCGAUACUGCUUUGCUCGAGCACUGUAGAGGCAGAUGGAAUUCCGGGUGUAGCGGUGGAAUGCGUAGAGAUCCGGAAGAACACCGGUGGCGAAGGCGGUCUGCUGGGCAGUAGCUGACACUGAGGCGCGACAGCGUGGGGAGCAAACAGG
rnacentral:rRNA from 1 species